rnacentral:lncRNA from 1 species
GGGGAAGGGGUGGGGCUUCAGGAGAGGGUCUGAGAACACACAGGCAGGCAACACCUUAAAAUCCCAUCUCAGUCAGCAAUGACUCCUCAUAGGGCCACCACGAGCUUAAAUGUCACUUAAAUGUCCCUAUUUGCCAGCCUGGACUUCGGUGUGGUGAUAUCAUGGUGCAUUCCCAGGAGGGAAGUGCUUGGUCAAGACUUCUGCUUGGGUUCGACUGUCGGUUCUGGUUUCACAUGCACUGUGUGAACACGCUUCAUACAGAGGGUCAGCACCGCACUGUGUGAACAUGCUUCAUGCAGAGAGCCUGUACUGCACCAGGUGAACACACUUCAUACAGAGAGUCAGCACCGCACCGUGUGAACAUGCUUCAUACAGAGAGUCAGCACCGCACUGUGUGAACACGCUUCAUACAGAGAGUCAGCACCGCACCGUGUGAACACACUUCAUACAGAGAGUCAGUACUGCACCGUGUGAACAUGCUUCAUACAGAAGAUCAGCACCUCACUGUGUGAACACACUUCAUACAGAAGGUCAGCAAUGCACCGUGUGAACACACUUCAUACAGAGAGUCAGCACUGCACUGUGUGAACAUGCUUCAUACAGAAGAUCAGCACCUCACUGCGUGAACAUGUGUUAUACAGAGAGUCAGCACCGCACCGCGUGAACAUCCUUCAUACAGGUCAGCACUGCACCAUGUGAACACACUUCAAACAGAGAGUCAGUACUGCACCAUGUGAACAUGCUUCAUACAGAAGAUCAGCACCUCACUCUGUGAACAUGUGUCAUACAGAAGGUCAGCACUGCACUGUGUGAACACGCUUCAUACAGAAGGUCAGCACCGCAUUGUGUGAACAUGUGUCAUACAGAGAGUCAGCACCGCACCGUGUGAACACGCUUCAUACAGAGGGUCAGCACCGCAUUGUGUGAACAUGCUUCAUACAUGAGGUCAGCACCUCAUUGUGUGAACACACUUCAUACAGAGUCAGCACUGCACUACGUGAACAUGCUUCAUACAGAGGGUCAGCACCUCACUGUGUGAACAUGUGUCAUACAGAGAGUCAGCACUGCACCGUGUGAACAUGCUUCAUACAGAGGGUCGGGUCAGCACCGCACUGUGUGAACAUGCUUCAUGCAGAGAGUCUGUCCUGCACCAGGUGAACACGCUUCAUACAGAGAGUCAGCACCGCACCGUGUGAACACGCUUCAUACAGAGGGUCAGCACCGCACUGUGUGAACACACUUCACACAGAGGGUCUGUACCACAUUCCGUCAACAUGUGUCAGCACCAUACCAUGUGAACACGCUUGGUACAGUGAUAUACAUGCAUGUGGCAGAGCUGUGAAAUUAUGACCUGCUGCAGACAGACUUUGUACACUGUGCUAUCAGCCAACUGGGCAAAUGUGGACAAGAGUCCCUGCAUGUCUCUAUUCACCAGGUGUCUGUCAAAUGAAAUGGGCUGAACUGGAUAAUGGCAGGUCUGACCCAUGAUUACUGCCUGUAAGAGCUGAGUUAUCCCAGAGUGUAGGCGUGGGAUAUUAAAAUAUAUAUAUAUGCAAAUAUAUUUGGGCUGGGUUUGGUGGGUCAUGCCUGUAAUCCAGCACUUUGGGAGGCUCAGGCAGGCGGAUAACCUGAGGCCAGGAAUUCAAGACCAGCCUGGCCAACAUGGUGAAACCCCGUCUCUACAAAAAAAUACAAAAAAUUGGCCAGGCACGGUGGCUCACGCCUAUAAUCCCAACACUUUGGGAGGCCGAGGUGGGCAGAUCACCUGAGGUCAGGAGUUUGAGACCAGGCUGGCCAACAUAUAGUGAAACCCCAACUCUACUAAAAAAAUACAAAAAUUAACUGGGAGUGGUGGCAAACGUCUGUGGUCCCAGCUACUUGGGAAGCUGAGGCAGGAGAAUCGCUCAAACCCGGGAGGUGGAGGUUGCAGUGAGCCGAGAUACCGCCACUCCACUCCAGCCUGGGUGACAGAUCAAGACUCCAUCUCUCAAAAAAACAAGAACAAAAACAAAAAACAACAACUUAGCCGGACGUGGUGGUGGGUGCCUGUAAUCUCAGCUACUCAGGAGGCUGAGGCACAAGAAUCCCUUGAACCUGGGAGGUGGAGGUUGCAGUGAGCAGAGAUCUCACCAUUGCACUCCAGCCUGGGCAACAAGAGCG